rfam:Myotis davidii contig62963, whole genome shotgun sequence.
GGUAGUUCUCGGGUGAUGCACCCCGAAAUAGGGCUCCCUCCUCUGAUUCCUGGUGCGUCACCCGAGGACUAGC